rnacentral:tRNA from 1 species
GUGGGCGUGCCGGAGUGGUUAUCGGCCAUGACUAGAAAUCAUUUGGGCUUUGCCCGCGCAGGUUCAAAUCCAGCCGCUCACG